UGUGGGAGCGAGCCUGCUCGCGAUAACGGUGUGUCAGCCAACCUGUUUGGUAACUGACGGACCGCUAUCGCGAGCAGGCUCGCUCCCACA
rnacentral:misc_RNA from 1 species